CCGGGCCACCAGCGCUAGGAGGUGGAGGAGGAGGAGGAGACGGAGGAGGAAGGCUGCCCCGGGAUGCGCCACCUGCCCCUAAAGGGCGGGCUUCGCCGGAGCUGGGGCAAGGGACCUCCCUGGGAGAGGAGCUGCCCUCCUUCCACGGCCGCCGCCUUCCCUGACGAGAAACACCCGGGGUUCCGGCUCACGGGGCGGCGAGUAGAGAGCAGCCCCCGGCACCGAGGGAGGGAGAAAGGACGGGAGAUGCGCGUUGGGGCGUGGGAAGUGUCCGGGCUCUCCAGGGCGCUCCCUCAGCCCCUCCCCGCUCGGUCCUGUAGCCCUGCCCGCACCCCGUCCGGGCCCGCAGCAGCGCUGCACCUGCGAGCUCCUAUGGUGCUCUUCCCGUAUCGCCUGCAUCCCCUAACUAAAGCGCUGUCGUGCCGCGUUUCUUCCCAUUGCACGUGCAAUGGGAGUGUAGAGCACUGAAAGAAAGAAUAAGAAGCUCAGGUCGACCCUGUCUAACUGGUGCAAGUUCAUAAAUGCAGAUGUCAAAAUUACUUUAGUCUUUCCAAGCUGCCUGCUAGUGACCAAAUGGCAAAAAUUAAGAAUUUCCAUGGAGUUCUUGCUGGUAGUUGUAGAGAGUGAUAAGGGCCUUGCUGAGCCUCCUUUCCUCCAGGCUGAACAAUUUCAGCUCUCUCAACUACUCCUCACAAGACGUGUGCUCCAGACCCUUCAUCAGCUCUCUUGACCUUCUCUGGACAUGCUCCAGGACCCAAAUGCCUUUCUCUCCAUCGAGGGGCCGAGCUCUGAGCACGGGGUUCAAGGUGUGGCGUCACCACUGACAGGUGAAAGUUGCCACCUCAGAGAAUGGAUACAGAAGAACAGAAGGUGAAUGGCAGUACUGGUAAGCCUAUAACUCUAACACCUCUAUGUUCUUUAGUACCCUGCAUUACUGUGGCCCACUAGGAGGUACAAGGGUGCCUGUUCUUUUUUUAUCUGGCACUUAAGAAUAGGUAGAUUUACUAGGAUAUCUCAAAAAUCUGAAGUAAAGCUUUUGGCUGUAGGAUUAUUGCCAGUUUUUGUCAAUAUGCUGAAAUAUAAUGACUGUGCUGUAAAGGGUUUCGAUCUUUUUUAUGGUGGUGUAUGUAAUUGUCAGGGAACACCUAAUGUGAAGUACAGAGAGAGUUCAUGAUUUAAGUGUGUGAGCCUUGAUAUAUUAUAUUCUUUUGUAUAACAAAUUUGCAGAAUUUAAGGAUUAUAUAUUUAUAGUUUUUAAAAAUAGGUAUAUAUUAGGCAAAUAGACUGACUCUGGCUGUGUUAAAAUAAUUUCCUGCACGGAAUGGCAAGUAAGAUGAUACAUAUCCAAUAAUUUUUGCAUUCCUUUCAGCAUUGAUUCCUUUACUCCAGUGAAUCUGAGCAUGAAGUGUGAUUUAGAUAGAUACAUGUUGUGAAGAUAUAGGGAAGCCUAAGAAAGGCUUCCUUAGAAACAUUCCUGUGUAAGUCUCCUCUCCUGGGUUGCAAUGCUGCUUUCUGCUUGGAAUUUAUUAUGUCUUUAAUUUCAUACUGUAUACUGGUUGUGCUGCAACUUUAUCCUAUUCAGCUAUGGUAUCAAUCUGUUUUUGAAAAGCUAUGCACUUAUGAAAGUGCAUUGAAAUGCAGGAGCAUUGGGAGGAACUGUUGUUAUGUGGCAUUAUGGGUGUUUAAAAAGAAGUGGAAGAAGAAAUACACUUCUACUAUGCAGUGGGAUCAAUAUUUUGAUGAAUUUUAUGGGAAGUGAGGCUUUCCAUAGAGAAAGCUUAUCUUAACCUUCUUUUAAUUUCCAGUGCCUUAUGGGAGCUACGUGGUUCUUUUUACACUUAGGCACGUUCCCUUGUGGAAAUAUUCCCUGAAUAUAAUGCAGACAACUUCUGCUACUCCUGUAUGGAAUCCACUGCUCUGCUUCUUCACAUAGCAGCUACCAAGCUGGUUUGGCUGUGUUAGGCUUUAUCCACAUGUACAGCUGGAGAGGUAAAGUGCAAACUUGCAUGGAGAGGGAAACUGGUAUUGCCAAGUAAGGUAGUAAGCAAUACUAGAUAGAUACCUUUUGUGUCUUUCUAAUAUCCACAUACACCAAAAAAAUUAAUUAUGUCACAAGGUCACUGAAUAUUAAUCAACACUGUCCCCAUGGGUGUACUCCAAAGGCAGGUAAUUUUUUAGAUAAAAGAAGCUUGAUUAUGGGCUUUGACACCAUCAGAUGAAAAGAGAAGUGAUUCUAUUUAUUAUAGUGUCUGUCUCAUCUUCUCUGCUUAUUACUUUUAGAAAUAAUCCUGGAAAAUAAUAAAAAAAUAAUCUGUUUACUUAUCCAGGAUGAAGUUAUUUUUAUACUCCUCACAGAGUGUCAUUCAAUCUAAAAUGAUUAAUCUUUGCUUGUUUGCCGAAAUUUUUCUAAGUUUUGCUCUUCCACCUGUUUGUUUAGUCAUUGAUAGCUGUUCACUCUCCCAAUGUGUCAUCUGACCCAGCAGGUCUGGGUUUUUCAAACAUCAGCAUUAUUCAACAGUACUUUCUUUCAUACUUCCAAAGUAUUGGUGCUUCUGUGAUUUUAUCCCUGGUUAAAAUGAAAAUGCCUUUUUAUACUCGUUAAUUUCAGCUGCUUCUAGGCCAUAGUCCUGCUACUUAAAUUGGACUUUUCCUCUAUUCCGUAUUAUAGACUUCUGUCCUUUGCCCUUAUUUUUAGUGAUACCAAGUGAAAAUAGAAAACACAUUCCAAAUGUCCCACCUUUGCUCUGUGCAUUCAGAAUUAGGCCAUGAAGAUGAUACAUACUGUACUUGGUAUAGUUUUGGAUCAAACUUUCCAUUAAUCAUUUGACUUCUGGGAUUAUUGUACAGACUAACUGUUAGUUUUCAACAGAAUGAAAAUUGCUGAAUCCAAAAAGGAAUUUUCAAGAAAUCACCUUUUUUUGUGACCUUCAACAGACACCUACAUGGGAAAGAGUUAUUCUUGUGCAUAUUCAGGCUUUAGCACCGAUGGGUUGUUUAUGAUUUACAUAAAGGCAAAAGAAAAACAAGACAGCGAUUCCAUCAAUUUCAAACGAGCCUGUUUUUGAUGGGCUGGGUGCCAGUGGAUCUGCAGCCAGGCACACCAGCAAAGGAGCCCUUCCCUGGUGCUGUGCAGAGGAGCGUGAAAUGAAUGGGGACCUUGCUUUGUUAAAACUCUGACACAGACUAAUGUUUUUUUGAAAAGUGCAGUCCUGACAGCUCUGAAAAUGUGAUGUUCCUGCUCUCAGCUCCAGAGGAGAGUGCUGUAGGAGAGCUUCCCAACAUUCAUUAGCCAGUCUGCAUCAAAACUGCUGUCUGAGGAAUAUCCUGGUCUUUAGACAUGUUUGCAGUGAGGUCUCUGCUGAGGCCUCUGCUGAAGGUUGCACUUAUUAUCUGCAGUGUUGGGAAGUGUGUAUUUGACAGGUAGUGGACUGCAUCCACUGGCUCUCUAAACAGCUUUCAGUGUGACAGCAACUUCACUUUAGUUUCUUGGAAAAUACUUCAUUUCUCACAAAAGAAACCUCAAAAUAAAUACAAAAACUUCAAAAGAAAAUCUUUGAGGUGUGUAAGAUAAGGGGUUUUUUUGGUCUUAAGUUACUAUUUUAAAAAUGUAUUCCUGCAAAUGGUUAAUAUAUAUAGAAGAAUUGUUCAUGGGCUGAAGCAGGCCCGAAAAUCCUGGUGGGCAGUUAGUAUGGGCCUGUAGGCUCUCCGGUGUUCUUAAUGCUUCCAGACUUUCCAGGCACGGUCUCAACACCCCUUUGUUCACUCUGGGCAAUGGUGUAGGACCUUCUUCAUUACACACAAGGUAACAAAAGCUUUCUGGGAUGCAAUAUUCAUUUGGAGUAAGGGGCAUGACACCCUCACACAGGCUCUGCCCUGAUGUUCCUAAUAGCAAAACCCGACCUCUGAGUUCUGUGGGGUGCAGCACACAAAGUGUUUGGCCCAGGAGGGGAGUUUGUAGAUGGUGUGUCAACAGCAGUGGCAGGUAACCCACAGAGACACACUGCAGCAGAAAUGUGAACUUCCUGUGUUGCAGCAGUGAAAUAGUGUCAAAGGCCUUUUAGGGAACUGGCCAGACAAGCUGAACUUGUGUGUGCUUCCAGCAGGCAGAGGAGAGAUGCUGAACACAUGCUGCCUGCCAUCAGCAGCCCUGUGGUUGCCAAGAAUUGCAGCUACCCAUUACAUAAACCAUCACACAGUACACAUCAUGCAGCCAGACACAGUGUUUGUGUGUGAAUGGCUCUGCGUAGGUAUGUGGGGAAGUUCACGCAUGUUAACAGGUUCAUAUUUUAAAUUUAGUACUAAAAGUUAGGCUCUUUUAUAGCCUGAAGUUGUCACCAAGAGAGAAUAUUCACUUCUUUUUUGAAAUGGAGGGAGAAAAAUGGAGGUGGAUGCGGCAUGAUAGAGCAAAUUUGUCCUGUUGGAGAAGGCUCAAGUACAGAUUCUGUGUUGUCAAGACCAAAGAGCAGCUCUGGUUCUCCUACAACACUAGUAGGCAUGUCACUAUUUUAACCCUUAGAAAACUGGCUGGCUCACAGCAAAAUAACAGUAGAUCUUUCCAAACCAUCUCUGUGAAUGUGAUAAUUUAAUUCAAACAGUGUAAAGCAAUUAGUCUGUAUAAAGAACUUAAAAUAGACAAAGCUAUUUUUUUUUAAGUAGCUAUUUCUAGCUCAUUAGGCACAGAAAUGUCCUUUACACUCAGCUUUUUGACUGCACUCCAUCAAUUCAGCCCAAUCAACAGAUUUUCUCAAUCUAGAAACAAAGCAAAAUGAAACAAGGGAAGUUAAGCAGUGAGUAGAUCAGUCAUCUCUGCUCAGCUUUCAAGGCUGCUAUAAAUGGGGUUUUUUCAGUUACGACAUGCUGAAAACAAUAAGCCACCUGAAAACUAUGGCUGUGAUUUUAACAGCUGCAUUAUAUUCAAGAAAAUUGAAAAUCCUCUUCUUAAAAUACAACUUUAUCCAACUGUUCUGUGUGUAUUUUCAGGCCUAAAUUGCUAUUCUGCUGAGAAUUGGGAAAAAAGUUUCUUUAAUUGGUUAAAAAAAGAACUCUUCCCAGCAUUGAUCCAUCUUAGUAUGAAGAGGAAUAGCCUGGCACAUCAUAGUCAGCAAAAAAGACUAAAACACCUGCUCUCAGUCAUACCACAGUAUUUAUUUCAGAAGCUGUUACCUAUUAUUUUAUAUAAAGUAUAUGCUUCUAUAGGCCUGGGGGUAGUUGAAAAUAUUUCAUUGUUACGGCUAUUCUGCCAGAUGUCUUUUUCAAAAAGGCCAAGCAGUGCUAAAGUGUCUGGACUUUCAGAGCAGGCAGGACUGAUGGAAUAUAUUAUCCCACAUUUUUAUGGCAAUGGAUGGAUUUUCCUUGUCACAGGCAACGUAUGCUUUCUGCAUUGCUGGGGACAGUGGCAGAUUUUUUAAAUUAACAUUUGAAUCUAUUAUUUAUGAGUGCAUUCCCUGAUGUCUGAAUCUGAGGGCAAGCCCUGCUGUGCUUGACGUGGUCUCUCACAAGAGGGCUUGAAAGACCUCCACUGUACAAGUGGAGAGACCUGAGACUUUCUGCUUGACUGCUCCUGCCUGUCAGGCAAGGACAAGCAUUCAGGGACUAAAGAUUUCUCAGUUCCCAACGUCCUUGACCCAAACGUAGUUUUCUAAGGAGAAUCACGUGUUAGCUCACUGCUAGUUCCUAAACAUGCAGAUGUUAACAGAAGACCUUGUUGUUAAGGCAGGCCCUUUUGACACCAGGAGCAGCAUAAGGCUGUGAAUUUCUGACAAGCUGCUCAACCAGCACAUCAUGCUUGGGGCGACAGGCAUAUCCAGCCAAGAAAACCACUCUGCAGUUUUGCACUUCCUCCAAUAUAUACCCACCAGCAGCAUCAGUACUCCUGACUUGGUGGUGCUGACAGGGCUGGAAAACCUAUCAAUGCAGGCACUCAGAAGGCAGCUCUCUCCACACACAGUUUCCCUCCUACACAACGAAGGAGAAGGCAAUUACAGCUGUUUGGAUCUGAAUAUUUUAUCCUGAAUAAUUAUGAGAGUAAGGCAUACGUUAAACACGUGGCAAAUAAUCUACAUUUUCUGUGGACAGAAGACUUUUAAAUUUCCAACAAAUUUACAAAUUAUUUUCUGUCACGAGCAUUUAAAAAUGUUUUGUAAGAAAUAUACCUAAUGCCACAGGAUUUAUAUUUUAAAAGUCUUUCUGUAAUUUAUUUAAAUUUCUGUUCUCUUGCUCGGUUUUCUAGAGCAAAAUGAUAGUUGUAUCUCUACACAGAUGAGCUAUGCUUCUGGUGUUUUACCAUCACUGAAGAACUGCUUGAAGAUAAUCAUGUGUGGCUUUUAGGCACAGAAUUCAAAAGCACGAAUGCAUGUGUGAGACUGAAUGUGACUGCUAUAAAACAGUGAACUAUGGAAAUGAUAUAGUAGUUUUGCACAACCAAAGGAAAGGUCAAAGUACUUACAAAAGUACUUACAACCCUACCUAUGCUACCAAGUAUGUAUGUAAUGAAUGUAAAUAUAAAAAGGGAAAGAAUUGUUCAACAAAAAUAAACUGAAGCAGUUGAAUAUUGACUUAUUUUUAAUAGGAAAUACAAAGCUUUCUUCCCAACCCAAGAAUUAGACACAGUCUUGUCCAUCAAUGGCAGUUAUGUGCAGUUCUUAUGUAGGCAGCUAAAUCUGCUCAAUGCUGUUUCCUAUAUGCAAGCAGAUAUAAAUCUGGUUAUAAAUGGCUCUGGAUAUAAAUGCAUGUUGGCAUCCAAGAUCAUUUGGACUCUUCCAAUUCAAAUUUCAGAAAAGGUAUUGCAGUUCUCAGAAAGGAAUUGCAGUUUUUCAUGGGCUUUAUAUGUUACAAGUGACCAAAUACACUGACCUUUCUGAAGCAACUUCUGGAAAAUACACAAGGGGCUUCAUCCAUCAGCAGUGGACUUCAUUCAAGGUUUGCAACAAAGCUCAGUACUUUUUUUGACCUCUAAAAGCAAUUUUUUAUCAAUCUAUGAAUGAUGAUUUAAUACUUGUAAUACAUAUUAUAAUGUAUAUCAUGUAAUACUUGUUUUUGGGAAGGGUGACUUGAAGAGGCAUGGACCUGUUUCCUUCCUAUUAAUUAAUAGGAGGUUUGUUUAUAAAAAUUAAAAGCUAUAUUAAAAAAUGUAAUUAUACUAUCAAUAAUCAAUGGAAGUGUAACUUCUGGAUUUUACAUAAUCAUUAUAUAUGUGAUUCUGACUGCUGGGUUACUAAACUGUUUUGCUGUUCAUGUACUUUUUAUUGUGUUGAAUGAUAAAUUGUACCUAUGAUCAUAAAAUAAAUUCACUUUUC